UACGUAGGGACCAAGCGUUGUCCGGAAUCAUUGGGCGUAAAGAGCGUGUAGGCGGCUUGUUAAGUCUUGCGUGAAAUCCCGGGGCUCAACCCCGAGCGGUCGUGAGAAACUGGCAGGCUAGAGUGCGGGAGAGGAGAGUGGAAUUCCUGGUGUAGCGGUGAAAUGCGCAGAUAUCAGGAAGAACACCCGUGGCGAAGGCGGCUCUCUGGAACGCAACUGACGCUGAGACGCGAAAGCGUGGGGAGCAAACAGG
rnacentral:rRNA from 1 species